rnacentral:misc_RNA from 1 species
AACGAGGCCGACCUGCGGCUGAGUUACCUGCGGAAGGAUCAUUAGAGUAAGAAAGGGGAAAGGAGGUUUUUGGGCGCAACUUAGCCCAAACCAUUUUCCUUUUUAUCCAACUCAUUCCGGCCGAGAGUUUUCCGGUAGGGGGAUUCUCGGCCGUGGGGUGUUUGGGGGGGAGGAGGAGGAGGAGAGAAGAAAAAAAAGGGGGGGAGAGGGGUAGGUAAGGAGGGGAGGAAGGAGGGAGGG